UUAUAAUAAAAUUGUCGUAAA
ensembl:piRNA 21ur-6341 ncRNA